AAGGAGCUAUGGUCGAUUGAAGUUGACUCAAGUUUUGAUGCUCACUAAAACUCGAAUGAUAGGAAAACUUUCAACUUGACCUUGAGUUAUGGGACCUUUAUGAUCUCAAUUCAUGCUUAAAUGGUUACCAUGCUACAUACUUGAUUAACAUGAAAAAUUUGCAUAGGAUUUAUGGCUUUUGGAUCAUCUACGCAUAGAAAUAAUGGUUUUCAUUCUAGUCCGAAACAUGGGGUGUUACAAAUAACGUAUAGAAUUCUACUUGUAAAAGGAUUGUAAUGUAGUAUCCUAUUUGGAAAAGGAUUAGAAUAUAUUGUUUAUAAAUAGGAUCUCAGUAUAACAAUGUAGUUACAACAAUUCAAUUUUUUCUUCACCUGUAUUUCUCACAAAACUGAACAUAGGAUGAACAUUGGCGUUAUAAACCUAUGUUUUUCCUUGCCAAUUUGUUAUAGAUGCCAUCUUAUUUCCCGACAUCUAUGUACUCGAGACAGAUUCAAAUAUUGAAGAUACUAUAUAGGUGGACCUUCAAUCAUUGAAUUGUUUGCAAAAUUUAUAAGAAUCGAGUUAACGACAAACAAGAAAAUAAUGUUGAAGCAAAAGUACGAAGAUUGAAGAUAGAAAAUUAAAGAUUAAUGCAAUUUAAGAAGAAAAUCCUCAAACUUCAACAUCAAGUGCUAAGAAUCCUAGUUAAACUUAGAGAUCGUUUGGUAGAGUGUAUUUUAAAAAAUAAUGCAUGUAUUAGUCUUGUGUACUACUAGUACCUUGUUUGGUAUAUUUUUAUUAGUCUAUUGAUAACUAAUGCUUAUACACUGUAUUGUGUAUUGAGAUAUGUGGUACAAAUACCACCCUUUUCUAUAUAUUAGUAAUACAAAGGGUUUCAACAUAUGCGUUGACAUGAUUAAUGAAAUUAAUACCCCUCAAAUCCGUCUCAAAGGCUUUAGAUGCAGACAAUCAACUUAUUCCAUAAUAGUUCAUUCAACAACAACAUACCCAGUGUAUAUAGUGUAUGCAAUCCAUACCAGUACCUCAGAUGAAGUAGAGAGACUGUUUUUGAUAGACCCGUGAUUCAGGACAAACACCAAUAUAACCAACAAAAACAUAAAAACACACAACAGAAUGAUCUAAGAAACAUGACACCCAUAGAUUAAUACUAUAAACUAUCUAUCUGAAAUCACCAACAACACCAAAUCACCAUAUAUAAGAAACUACAAGGCACAUGCAUAACACUAUGACUACAGGCACAACUACACAUAAGGAACUCUUCCCUAUUAGUAAGAACACACUCCUAUCCACUAACCCUCUACUUUAAUAUGCGUCUUCCACACUUUUCGAUCAAGGGUCAUGUCCUCUGUAAGCUGUACCUGCUUCAUGUUCCGCCUAAUCAUUUCCCUCCAAUAUUUCUUUGGCCUACCUCUACCCUGCACGAAACCAUCCAUAGCCAACCUCUCACACCUCCAUACAGGGUAUCUGGGCACCUUCUCAUCACAUGUCCGAACCCAUCUUAACCUCCUUUCCUGCAUCUUGUCUUCCACUGAAGCCACUCCCGUCUUCUUUUGAAUAAUCUCAUUUCUAAUCCUAUCUCUCCUAGUAAGUUCACACAUUUAUCACAAUAUCCUCAUUUUUGUCACCUUCAACUCUUUGAUGUGGGAGUUUUUAAUCGGCCAACACUCCGGUCUAUACAACAUAGCCGGUCGGACUGUCACUCUGUAGAACUCAUCUUUAAGUUUGGGAGGCACCUUCGUAUCACACAAGACUCCCGAAGCGAGCCUCCAUUUCAGCACCCAUCCUGCACAAAUUUGGUGCGUGACAUCCUCAUCAAUCUCCAUAUUCCCCUGAAUCAUAGACCCAAGAUACUUGAAACUAUCUCUCUUCCGAAGGGCCUGAGAAUCCAGCUUUUCUACCACGUCCACCCCAUGCAUCAAAUCACUGAACUUACAUUCCAAGUACUCCGUCUUGGUCCUGCUCAAUCUAAACCCUAUAGACUCAAGGCUUCAUCCUUGCCAUGGAGCUAUCCUCUCACCCUUCUUGAAAAAAAUCCGACUUCGAAUUUACCCAACAUCAAACAAGGACAAAUCAACAACAUUGAAAGUAGCCCUUGAUACUCACCAGGCAAAUCCAACUUGUAAGCAUUGUCUCCAAUUCACUCUAGAACUUUAAAGGGUCCAUCACCUCUAGGAUGCAAUUUAGACUUCCUUUUGGAAGGAAACCUUUCUUUCCUCGUGUGAGCCCAAACUAAGUCCCCAUACUCGAAGAUGACUUGUUUGCGCCCUCUGUUUAUUCUCAAAACAACUUGCUCAUUUCUUCUAUCAAUGGCCAGUCUAGUUUACUAAUAUAUCUUCCUCAUUAUCCCAGUUUAUUUUUUCCAUCAAGGCUAGCAACAUGAUUAGUAGGCAAUGACACUAAAUCAAGAGGAGUAAGGGGAUUAAAACCCUAUUAACUUCAAAAGGAGAAAACCCAGUAGAAGAAUGAAUAGUUCUAUUAUAAGCAAAUUUCCACUAGAUAGUCCAAAAGUCGUAGAGACAAUUCUUGAACAUUCAACAACCAAGGAAUGGAAAUAAUUAAGGCAUCUACUUAUGGUUUGCCUCUUACAAUUAUAGCCCAAAAUUGGCUUGAGAAACGAUUUCAAAAAUAGCCCAAAACAGAUCACUACCUGCUGGACCAUCUGCGGCCGCCGAUGGUGGUUUGUUGCCCGUAUAUGCAGCCACAGAACUCGGUGUUUAGGCGUCUGCGGUUGGUUUGCUGACCGCAUCUGCUGGUUUGCUAAUCGCACUUGGGGACAUAGGCAUCAUAGCUUUCCCUAUGCUCCAAACUAUCAUCCAAAUGUGAAAUUCCUUCGGUAGAAGCCCAAAAAGAUGCUCCCAAGCUCCUCUUUGUGUCCUCAUGGUGAGCGUGGCUUGCGUUCUCUUGAAUAGACCUUGAAGUAUAAGUCUGACAUGAAUUGUGCCGGGUGAUAUCAUAUCAUCCUCUUUUUUUGAAAAGGAUUCGUCCUCGAAUCCGAUUCUUGUAAAAAUAUCUGAAGGGGAAACAACCAAGAAAUCCUUAUAGUACGAGGGUUAGCACAAGGGUUUAAUACAAAUAUCACCAUGCACCAAGGAGGUAUAAGUUUGAAAUACAACCAAGUAUCCUCUACUAUCAUGAAGAACAACUCAUUGUACAAGAUACAAAGGACUUGACUAUUAAGCAUAUUAGGAAACAAGGAAAUCACAAGGGUCCCAUUGGUAUCAACAUUCUAAGUUCACAACAUUUCAAGACAAUAGAUCCUUUAUUUCAAGAUAAAACCUUCCAAAAGAGGGUGUCACCGUUAAGUCCCAAAAUGAUCGUAUAGUCUUAAGUUGCUCGGACUCUGGUGAGGAUCUGAGUGUCGGAUCUUUCAUGAUCGAAUUUUUGAGAUUCGAGGAUCUGGAUAUGGAUACGGGUGCGGGAACUUGGCAAAAAAGAAAUUAAAAAUUCAUACAUAUAGUUCAAAAUUGACAAGUAUUUUAAAACUAAUAAAAAAUGAGAAUAUUAAUAUGUUCAAUAUAUACUUGCGCUAAAUUUAGUUUCAUUAAAAAAAUGUGUGCUUUCAAAGCAUAUAUAUUAAUCUUUAAUUUAUAAUUAAAUAAUUAUAAUAUUUAUCCUUAUUUUAUAAACUCUAAUUAAUAUACCAUGCUUAUUUCAUUUAAUCAAAAUAAAGAAAUUAUUUAUUCUUAGUAAUAAAUAAUCAAAGAUGCAGCUGUUUAAUAUGGAAAGCUUAUCUCAUUAAAUAAACUCUAAUUAAUAUACAAUGCUUCUUUCAUUUAAUCAAAAUAAAGAUAAAUUAUUUAUUCUUAAUAAUAAAUAAUCAAGAUAUUUAAUAUGGAAAGCUUAUCUCAUUUAAUUAAAAAAAUUAUAAUGUUUAUUCUUAAUAACAAAUAAUAAACGUGGCAGCUAUUAAAGGAGUGCAGGUCAAUUAGAAAAAAAAUAGUGUUAGGUGACUGAACAAUCGUCUUCUUCAUCUUUUCCUCUUCUUCGUCUACUCUCCUCCAUCUUCGUCCCCAACUACUUGUUUUGCAUAUCUUUUUUUUACAAUACAAUACAAUAUCAUGAUGCGCACAAUCUAGUUGUCCACCACGGCACCGACAAUUCUCGGCUUCAAAAACCUGUAACAUCGUGAACAAUACCUGCAACAGCCA